GUAGUCAUAUGCUUGUCUCAAAGAUUAAGCCAUGCAUGUGUAAGUAUAAGCGAUUGUACUGUGAGACUGCGAACGGCUCAUUAUAUCAGUAAUAAUUUCUUCGGUAGUUUCUUUUAUAUGGAUACCUGCAGUAAUUCUGGAAAUAAUACAUGCUGUAAGAGCCCUGUAUGGGGCUGCACUUAUUAGAUUGAAGCCGAUUUUAUUGGUGAAUCAUGAUAAUUGAGCAGAUUGACUUUUUGAGUCGAUGAAUCGUUUGAGUUUCUGCCCCAUCAGUUGUCGACGGUAGUGUAUUGGACUACGGUGACUAUAACGGGUGACGGAGAGUUAGGGCUCGACUCCGGAGAGGGAGCCUGAGAGACGGCUACCAUAUCCAAGGAUAGCAGCAGGCGCGUAAAUUACCCACUGUGGACUCCACGAGGUAGUGACGAGAAAUAUCGAUGCGAAGCGUGUAUGCGUUCUGCUAUCGGAAUGAGAGCAAUGUAAAACCCUCAUCGAGGAUCAACUGGAGGGCAAGUCUGGUGCCAGCAGCCGCGGUAAUUCCAGCUCCAGAAGCAUAUGCUAAAGCUGUUGCGGUUAAAAAGCUCGUAGUUGAAUUUCUGGCAUGGGCGACCGGUGCCUUCCCUGAAUGGGGAUUGAUUGUCUGUGUUGCCUUGGCCAUCUUUCUCAUGCUAUUUUGGUAUGAGAUUUUUCACUGUAAUCAAAGCAGAGUGUUCCAAGCAGGUCGUAUGACCGGUAUGUUUAUUAUGGGAUGAUAAGAUAGGACUUGGGUGCUAUUUUGUUGGUUUGCACGCCUGAGUAAUGGUUAAUAGGAACAGUUGGGGGUAUUCGUAUUUAGGAGCUAGAGGUGAAAUUCUUGGAUUUCCGAAAGACGAACUAGAGCGAAGGCAUUUACCAAGCAUGUUUUCAUUAAUCAAGAACGAAAGUCUGGGGAUCGAAGAUGAUUAGAUACCAUCGUAGUCUAGACCGUAAACGAUGCCGACUUGCGAUUGUUGGGUGCUUUUUUAAUGGGCCUCAGCAGCAGCACAUGAGAAAUCAAAGUCUUUGGGUUCCGGGGGGAGUAUGGUCGCAAGGCUGAAACUUAAAGGAAUUGACGGAAGGGCACCACCAGGAGUGGAGCCUGCGGCUUAAUUUGACUCAACACGGGAAAACUUACCAGGUCCAGACAUAGGUAGGAUUGACAGAUUGAGAGCUCUUUCAUGAUUCUAUGGGUGGUGGUGCAUGGCCGUUCUUAGUUGGUGGAGUGAUUUGUCUGGUUAAUUCCGUUAACGAACGAGACCUCGGCCUACUAAAUAGUGCGUGGCAUGGCAACAUAGUGCGUUUUAACUUCUUAGAGGGACAUGUCCGGUUUACGGGCAGGAAGUUCGAGGCAAUAACAGGUCUGUGAUGC
rnacentral:rRNA from 1 species